GGCGGACGGGUGAGUAACGCGUGGGAAUCUACCUAUGAGUGGGGGAUAACUUGGUGAAAACCAAGCUAAUACCGCAUGUGGUCUACGGACUAAAGCAGGGGAUCUUCGGACCUUGCGCUAAUAGAUGAGCCCGCGUUAGAUUAGCUAGUUGGUGGGGUAAAGGCCUACCAAGGCGACGAUCUAUAGCUGGUCUGGGAGGACGAUCAGCCACACUGGGACUGAGACACGGCCCAG
rnacentral:rRNA from 1 species